UUCCAUCUGAGAAUUAGCUUGAUCAUAAUCGUGUUAGCUGUUAAAUAUAUCUUCUGGCUUUUUACUUGGGGUUCAUAUUUGAACCUGAUAUUUUUUGCUGUAUAUUCACAGCACUUCUAUAUUUUUGAAUACUUAAAUAAUUCUGAAGGGCUUAAAUCUCAACAUAUCUGUUAUGUCCCUUCUGAUUUGCAUUAACAAAGGUCUCCUGAAGCACUUCCUACUUCUCUGGAGAAUUAAGAAAAUGACCAGCUGUAACUUUGAGCUGCCCACCCUUGUUUCAGGCACCAGGUCUCAAAAAGUUAUUUCGAUUACAUAAGAUAAUUUUAUGAUUUAAGACUUAACAUCGCAAACAUACACUCCAAAGUUAAUGAAAACAUGCCUUUUAUGGUGUAAUAUAAUAAUAAAAAUGCCAAAAGCUAGUCUAACUUAGGUAGCAAUAUUUUAAUCACUUUCCUCUAAUGUUUGAGGAAGCUUCAAGGAGACAUUUAAAUCAUGGGAAAUAGGAAGGCACAUAAGACUACACAAGGAAAAAAUAAAAUCAUGUCAAUACAUAGAUUGUAAACUAAUAUUCAGUAACUAAUUUUAGUAUGAAAAUAAGCACUUAUCUGCUUAUCAACAAAAAAGAACUGUCUAUUUAUUUAAUCGACAUUAAAGAGAAAAUUGUUUCCUUUGAAGAUAAAAUGCUGUUUCUAGCACAUAUUUAAAAAAAAAUGUUUUCUUAUCCACAUAUUACAUUGACUUGAAAUUAACUUGCAUCUUGGUUAGAACAUCUUCCAGUAGCCCAAAACUGUCUACAGUAAAGGAGGCAGUUACUAAGUUAUAAGACAGCAUUCAUCAUUUAAACUGUGGGACUACAGAUAGGCUUCAGAUGGUUAGGUUAUUCAAAACAUCACAGUCUGAGAACAGAAAGAUCCUUGAGAAACCAUCUAGCUUAUCUUUUUUAUUUUACAGUAGAGUUAAAAAAAAACCUGUAUGCCUUUGAUAAGGGCUAUUUAAUUUUGCAAUCUUUUAUGCACAGACUUCUUCAAGAAACAAUAAGUUAGUACAGAGUAAGAAAAUUAUUUGAGUUAAAUAUUGAAGCUGGCCCUGAAUGACUGUGAUCAUUUUUCUGCUCUAAACCAAUUUCUUCAUUUUACUUGUAAGGAAAGUAAAAUUCCUCAUCUAACCUCUUAGGAUAUCCAGCUGGGAUUGAUGUAAGACAGAUUAGCAGUAGAAAAACAUACAAAUUUUAUUUAGUAGUUUUUACAUGUAUAUGGGAGCCCUCACUAGAAAAAUGAAGAUCAGAAGAAGUAGACAGGCCUAAGUGUUUAUAUACUAGGUUAGAGAAAGAAUGGCGAUUGCAGAAAAUUAAAAUAUAUGGGAAGACAAAAGGAAGAUAAUUAUCUAUUCGUACAGGGUUCUCACAGCUUUGGCUCGCCAUCUCUGGCAGUAAAAAUGUUUCUUUUCUCCUGAUAUAGGGAGGGUAUCUUAGAAAUGGACAGUGAUAUUUAUAAUUAUCUAUUUACUUAAUUUACCAAGAUAAUGACUUACAAUCUAGAUUUUUAUCUUCUUUUAUUUAUUUAUUUUUUUCCACCAAAUAGACAUUUUCCGAUUUCUUCUUUAAAACUGGGAAAAAUAUGGUUUUACAAGACAUUAUACUGACCAAAUUUGUACAGUUGCUUCAAUUGUGUUCAGUGUUGCCUGGAAUCUCUGUCUGCAUUUUACCAAAAAAAAAAAAAAAAACAAAAAAAAAA
rnacentral:lncRNA from 1 species